UAGGGAAUCUUCCGCAAUGGGCGCAAGCCUGAUGGAGCAACGCCGCGUGAGUGAAGAAGGUCUUCGGAUCGUAAAACUCUGUUGUUAGAGAAGAACAUGCAGGAGAGUAACUGUUCUUGUAUUGACGGUAUCUAACCAGAAAGCCACGGCUAACUACGUGCCAA
rnacentral:rRNA from 1 species